GAUGAAGAACGCAGCGAAAUGCGAUAAGUAAUGUGAAUUGCAGAAUUCAGUGAAUCAUCGAGUCUUUGAACGCACAUUGCGCCCCCUGGUAUUCCGUGGGGCAUGCCUGUCCGAGCGUCAUUGCUGCCCUCAAGCACGGCUUGUGUGUUGGGCCCCGCCCCCCGGCUCCCGGGGGGCGGGCCCGAAAGGCAGCGGCGGCACCGCGUCCGGUCCUCGAGCGUAUGGGGCUUCGUCACCCGCUCCGUAGGCCCGGCCGGCGCCCGCCGGCGACCCCCCUCAAUCUUUUCAGGUUGACCUCGGAUCAGGUAGGGAUACCCGCUGAACUUAAGCAUAUCAAUAAGCGGAGGA
rnacentral:misc_RNA from 1 species